rnacentral:rRNA from 1 species
AACGAACGCUGGCGGCAGGCUUAACACAUGCAAGUCGAACGCACCUUUCGGGGUGAGUGGCAGACGGGUGAGUAACGCGUGGGAAUCUACCCUUCUCUACGGGAUAGCUCCGGGAAACUGGAAUUAAUACCGUAUACGUCCUGAGGGCGAAAGAUUUAUCGGGGAAGGAUGAGCCCGCGUUGGAUUAGCUAGUUGGUGGGGUAAAGGCCUACCAAGGCGACGAUUCAUAGCUGGUCUAAGAGGAUGAUCAGCCACAUUGGGACUGAGACACGGCCCAAACUCCUACGGGAGGCAGGAGUGGGGAAUAGUGGACAAUGGGCGCAAGCCUGAUCCAGCCAUGCCGCGUGAGUGAUGAAGGCCCUAGGGUUGUAAAGCUCUUUCAGUGGGGACGAUAAUGACGGUACCCACAGAAGAAGCCCCGGCUAACUUCGUG